UAGGGAAUCUUCCGCAAUGGGCGAAAGCCUGACGGAGCAACGCCGCGUGAGUGAUGAAGGUCUUCGGAUCGUAAAACUCUGUUAUUAGGGAAGAACAAAUGUGUAAGUAACUAUGCACGUCUUGACGGUACCUAAUCAGAAAGCCACGGCUAACUACGUGCCAGCAGCCGCGGUAAUACGUAGGUGGCAAGCGUUAUCCGGAAUUAUUGGGCGUAAAGCGCGCGUAGGCGGUUUUUUAAGUCUGAUGUGAAAGCCCACGGCUCAACCGUGGAGGGUCAUUGGAAACUGGAACACUUGAGUGCAGAAGAGGAAAGUGGAAUUCCAUGUGUAGCGGUGAAAUGCGCAGAGCUAUGGAGGAACACCAGUGGCGAAGGCGACUUUCUGGUCUGUAACUGACGCUGCUGUGCGAAAGCGUGGGGAUCAAACAGG
rnacentral:rRNA from 1 species